AGAGGGAGUGUUUAUUUAUUUUUUAUUUAUUAUUAUUUUUAUUUAAUAUAUUUCUUCUUCUUCUUCUUCUUCUCCUUCCAGAAUGUUCCGCAACUCCCAGCUUCAUUGAACUUUUAUAUUGUAUUUGUGUGUGCGUGCGUACGUGUAGCAACCAAUUGCGAUUCCUUAACGAAGAGUUACGACUUCGGAGGAUGAAAGGAUCAGAGCGUCGAAGCAAAGCUAUCUCAUAGUCCACCCAUCUUAGGACUAUCGCGCUGCUGAACCCAAGCAAAACCCCGAACAAUCGGCAUGAAUGUGAUCAUGCUCAGCGGGCCUUCGAAUCAAUACCAAAACCUGCUCACUAGAUACGCUUCUCAGCCGAGAUAGCUCAUGUCAAGACGGAUACCUGGAGCAUGAACAGCGUCCAAAAGGACCAGGUUAUCAGCCACCGAACGCGGGACGCCUUUGGAAGAUGCACGGGGCCAAGGAGCUACGAGAGAAGAAUAAGGAGAAGAAGAAUCAGUAGCAGGAGAAGAAUCCCGACCUGCGCAGUGAACGAUUGAUUUUACGCCGUCGCUGCCAAUUCCUCGUUAUCUGGAUCU
rnacentral:lncRNA from 1 species